rnacentral:rRNA from 1 species
AUACGUAGGUGACAAGCGUUAUCCGGAUUUACUGGGCGUAAAGGGCGUGUAGGCGGUCUUGCAAGUCAGAAGUGAAAUUCCUGAGCUCAACUCGGGCGCUGCUUCUGAAACUGCAGGACUUGAGUGCUGGAGGGGAUAGCGGAAUUCCUAGUGGAGCGGUAAAAUGCGCAGAUAUUAGGAAGAACACCGGUGGCGAAGGCGGCUAUCUGGACAGUAACUGACGCUGAGGCGCGAAAGCGUGGGGAGCAAACAGGAUUAGAUCCCCUGGUAGUCCACGCCGUAAACGAUGAAUACUAGGUGUCGGGUUUCUAUAGAGAUUCGGUGCCGCAGCAAACGCAAUAAGUAUUCCACCUGGGGAGUACGUUCGCAAGAAUGAAACUUAAAGGAAUUGACGGGG